ensembl:lncRNA
GGGGGAAUGUAAAGAGGCAAGUGUAUAUAAGUUGAUGUUGGACUGAAGAGAGAGCGCAGAGGAGGCGGAGGAACACAAGCAGGGGCAUGUGGGAUGUCCUCCGCCUCCAGUCAACACGGACACAGAUUCGGUUACAAUGUAAUGAUCUGCACAGAGACACUCACAGGCACACACAGAGCUCCUGAGGCUGCCAUCGACUGAGCCCUCAGGGUGCAAACUAAUUUGCUCGCGGUCGAACACAGUCACUCCUCUGAAUAACUGUGUAAAUACUCACCCUGCCGCAGGGCACAACUAAGAUAUAAUGAGACCCUGUUCCUUUUUGUGGAUGUGUGAGUGUGAGCGCAUCUUCAAGCACCGUUUAAAAAAAAUGCACACUCAAAUGUGCUUGAUUGCAAUUGGCCAGUUCUCUACUUUUAGAACGACCACGAACAUGCUUCGCAGUGAGCUUCCGCCCUGAGCUUCUUGUCCCAUAUAGAGCACGUUCCUCCCUAGGAUCCCGCAUCCUCAUCUGCUAAGCGGGACCUCAUUUGCAUAAUCCUUGUGAACACAUACCUGCAAAGAUCCCUCGCAAUCAUCACAGCCUUAUGGGUAUCGACUUCUGCACACGUGCUUUCCGUAAGCCGGGCAUCACGGCAUAAUGGCACAAAGGUUACAUAAGCCUACGCUAUGGAGCCCACAGGCCGCCGCUGCACUGAGCUAAACCUCCGAAUUAUGUCAUUCAGGUGUUUUACACUUAUAUGAAAUGAAG